rnacentral:rRNA from 1 species
GUGAGGAAUAUUGGACAAUGGAUGGAAAUCUGAUCCAGCCAUGCCGCGUGCAGGAAGACGGCCCUAUGGGUUGUAAACUGCUUUUGUAUGGGAGCAAUAAGGGCUACGUGUAGCCUGAUGAGAGUACCAUACGAAUAAGGACCGGCUAACUCCGUGCCAGCAGCCGCGGUAAUACGGAGGGUCCGAGCGUUAUCCGGAUUUAUUGGGUUUAAAGGGUGCGUAGGCGGUUUUAUAAGUCAGCGGUGAAAUUUUCCGGCUCAACCGGGAUACUGCCGUUGAUACUGUAAGGCUAGGAUAUGGUUGCUGUGGGUGGAAUGUGUGGUGUAGCGGUGAAAUGCUUAGAGAUCACACAGAAUAUCGAUUGCGAAGGCAGCUCACAAAGCCAUUAUUGACGCUGAGGCACGAAAGUGUGGGGAUCAAACAGGAUUAGAAACCCGAGUAGUCC